CUUGCAUGGUUGCUGGGACGGUCCAAAGUCCUCAGUGGGGACGGCUGGCUGCAGCUGCCAGACUUGGAGCGUGAGGACAGAGCUGGGCCGGUUCCUCCCUGGGAUCUCCCCUCCCCGAGCCCAGGCUCUGCUCUGCCCAGCCCCAUGCUGUCCCCUGUGCGACCGCUGUGGGCUUCCUGCCAGGCUCCUGCGCCCUCCGGCUUCUGUUGGGUUCAGUUCUGGGAGGCAGCCCCAGAGCUUGGAGGGUGGAAGGAGUGAGGGGCAUCCCCUGUCCCCUCCCCACAGUCUUGGCAGUGGUUUCUUCUCUCCAGAGUUACUGUCCCUACCCCCUGUCCUCUCUCUGCAGCUCCAGCUCUUGCUGGGCGCCUGUGAUUCUCACCCCUGUCCCUUCAGGCCGUGGAGAGAAGAACAUCCCAGUGCGGUCACCUCCUGGAUCCAAUUCCUGGAUGCCCAGUGUCCGCCGGGUCUCCUGGAUUCACCGUGGUCACUGCCUGGAUGCCCAGUGUCCACUGGGUCUCCUGGAUCCAGUUCCUGGAUGCCCAGUGUCUGCCAGGUCUCCUGGAUUCACUGUGGUCCCUGCCUGGAUGCCCAGUGUCCUCCAGGUCUCCUGGAUUCACUUCCUGAAUGCCCAGUGUCUGCUAGGUCUCCUGGAUCCACUUCCUGGAUGCCCAGUGUCUGCCAAAUCUCCUGAAUUCACUUCCUGGAUGCCCAGUGUCCACCAGGUCUCCUGGAUUCUGCCUGUGUGCACGUGAGGGCACCAUCAAUUUCCUGCAAGGAUCCUAAGACAGUCAAGGUGAGGAGAUGCCUGAAGGACAGGAGACACUCACAGGAGGCCCUGGAGACAGAUGUGCCUCACAGGCAUUCCUGAGGACCUGUGGCCUGGCAGCACAGAGACUGGGUGAAAACAGAACUUUGUGAUCUGCAAGUUCUGCCGCUGCUCUGUCUGUGUCUGUGAAGCAAAGUGUCCAGAAGGGGCCUGCGUGGAAGCUUCUGAGAGCGGUUAGGGGAUCGGGGCCCCACGUCCUCCCCGGAGGGCUGGAGACGGAGGCAGGCCGUGCCCCCAGCCCAGAGUAGGGAGGAGGCCGGCAGGCGGCAGCUGUGGAAAGGAGGCGGAGCCCCCCGACUCCUGAGCCAGCAGAGGAAGGAGUGGGACAGAGCCCACCCCAGAGGGAGACAAGACCCCAGGGAAGAGACCCCUCAGGGCGGCCCCCCAGCCCCUCCCAGGCUCAGCUUUCAGCCUGCACCCCCGUCUGGUCCCUCAGAAUGACUGAGGUUUCCACUCUUUUUCUGCCAAAUCUCUAGACUCCACGUCCCCGCUCUGCCACCUACUCUCUGUGGGAUCUGAAUAAAGAGACUUAACCUUUC